rnacentral:tRNA from 2 species
GGGCGAUUAACUCAGUUGGUAGAGUGCAACCCUUACAAGGUUGAAGUCGCAGGUUCGAGCCCUGCAUCGCCCACCA